GGAGAGAGAAGUGCUCAAAUCACCACAGCUGGUACUGUUUAGAUGCCUUACUAGUAACCUCAUGGAAGCCAAGGCUUUGUUGCACCUGAAAGAAAAGGCUGUGGGGAAAGAAAUAAUUCUGAGUCAGCUUAACACUCUUCCUCCUGAAGAGAAGGUAGAAUAAGUGUGGCCUUCACAAAGUAGGCUGAAAUCACUUUCUGGGGUGUCCUGCAGCUGUGAUGACUUUGUGCUAAAAAACUGUUGAUGGUGUGACCAUGGGUCUGGAGUGGAGCUGUGCAGAGAUAUCUGCAGAUCUGACUGAAAAAUUUUUCCUUUCAAGAAAAAAUCUCAAAAUUUGUUGAAGUCUUAGCUACAUAGACAGCUAAAAAGCAACAAAUUUUGUUUUCAUUGAUGCAGCAAAGAACCCAUGUGGAACCAAAGACCCAUGUGGAUUAUGAGCAGAAGCAUUAUGUUGUAUUGAAUUGUGUUUUGGUGUGGAAGAUGAAGAGAAAAACAUCAACUUUCUGCCCUCUCAUAUUCACAAGGAGAUGCAAACUAAGCACUGUGGCAAGCAAAUCCUUCCAGGAUGAUCUGACAGAGCUGAAGAAGUUAUUGUUCAUCACUACUGGAUCUUUCUUUAGUUACCACCUGCAACCUGAGCUGACAGAAGGGACCAGAUCCAGGGUUUUAUUUCCUUAACCUCAGUGUGGUGUUGUAGCACACAUCAUUUAUUUCAGAAUGCAUUUCCCCCUUCUAACAACUGGUGCUCUGUUUUGGAAGCAAAGGGAGUAACUCCACACAGAGCCAGCAGACUGCAGUUGCUCCAUUUGUAUUAAGUUAAGCUUGUGGUCCUGUUAUUCCCUCUUCACUCUCAAGAUGCACAUUAUAAAGUUAGACCAGGAGGAAAACAGCACUUCCUACUUCUGUUUAGCCAUCUCCUCAAAUCUUGUAUGGACUGUUUCAAUAAGGAUCCCCAGGGGCCUCCUCCCUUCUAGUGCAAUCUGUGGAGUUAAACCAAUAUGUGCGUUGGAGCCAAGACUGUUAUGCUACUGUAAUUGUCAAAUUUGAAAUCAAUGCCUUUUUUUCCUCAUGAGCUCUUCUUUUCUCAAUAAACAAGAAUUUGGCUGCAAAAAGAGGCUCUACAUAGAGACCAUUUCAUAACAGUCUCUUAUGCGAAAUGAGGCUUUGAUUUUCCUAAAUGGGCCACUGAACUUUCCUCUCAGGAAAGCAAACCCUACAUUUAACCACAAGAAGAGGCAUUUCCAGUGCUCUUUCAUAUCAGCAUAGCAUCAGUUUUAAGUAAUUUAAUGUAACUUGCUGUGUUCUCUAAUGUGAUGGGAUUUGCACCAUUUUUUUUGUUAGACUGCAAUGUUUUCUGGGAUGAGUAGAACAAUUGUGUCAGGCUGAGGUCACUCAUACUAGAGAGAAUUGCUUGAAUUUAGCAGUAUAUGGCUGAAGGGGCAUUAAUCUUAAUCAUCUUCCAAUUGAUAGAAGGUGGUAUCAAUUCUUGGCACUUCCAUUCUUCCAUGAAAGUGGGAACAAAGCUAGGGACCAUUUUGGUUCUCCUUUUGUCUCUGUACUCUAACAGAGUGAAAUGGUCACCAGGGCUCUUUAAAAAUUUUGCUAUGCCUCUGAGAUAUUGAAAUCAUCUCUCUGCACAUAAUUCUAAACUGACACGCAGUUACUUGGCUCUGACUUCAUGUAUGGCCACAACACAAUCAUGUUAUGCCAUCUUAUGGCUGGAUGAGACCAGAUCAGUUCUUGUAUGCAUUGCUUUCCUUCUGGCUUUAGAGAUUAAUAAUAACGCAUGCAUUACAACUCAUCUCAGUGAAGUAAUUAUGUGUAAUUGCAUAAUUACCCGUUGCAGUUGUUUGACUUACUGGCAUUUGUACUAAUUAAACUAAUGGUAUGCAAAACUACAAAUUAAUUUAAAAUAAGAAAAGCACUGAGCACCGCCUCUUGAGGGUGUGUAUAUGCAGACAGUGGUACCAUGUUUGAACAGAAAUGUUGAACCUACAUCUUUUAUUGAACAUAUCACAUAGUUUUCUUUUAUCAGGUAAAAGGAUACAGCAUUAAAUAAUAAACUAUGUAAUAAUCCUAAACAAAACAAGAUCUGAGGCUCUGGAAUUAAACCCUCUUGCUCAAGAACACUUUCUAUACUCUGAUUAGUCAGAGGUACAAUUUCUCGCAGGCGAGUAAUCUUACACUUAUUUAUUACAAAUAUUUCUCAGUGGUGGCCAAAGCUAAACUUAAAAUGUGUCAACAAGGAGUAAGAUAAAUUUAUGUUCCUCUAGAUUAAAAUUCAGUGUUUGAGUUUUGUGCCCAGUCUACAAUUCUGACAUGCAAAUAACUUCACCAGAUCGACUCUUUUUGCUUAUGCAGUGAACUCCCAAAUCAGACUGACAGGAAUAAAAUUUAAAAUGUGAAUUUAAAUAAAGAAAACAGAAGGAUUAGCAUAAUGAAUAGCAAACAGAAUGCUGUCUUUAAAUCUGUUUCUGGAGACGUUCAUAAUCCUACAGUUGCUUUCCUGAGGAGAAUGUACUGCUUAGUUUGGACAUAGAAAAGCACAAUUUGUGCACUUACCUCCUUCAUUUGAAAUUUGUCCUAUACAAUUCUUCAAAGAAUAAAUGUC
rnacentral:lncRNA from 7 species